rnacentral:tRNA from 1 species
ACGGGCAUAGCUCAGCUGGUAGAGCAACGGUCUCCAAAACCGUAGGCCGAUGGUUCGAAUCCUUCUGCCCGUG